AGUUUGAGGACCACAGGAAGGCAUUCUAGCAGCUAGAAAGCAUGUGUAAAACAGCAGCUGGCUGGUUAUGCAUGAGAGAAAACAUGUAAGACCCAAGAUCAGGAUAUUGAACUGCCAUAACUACAAGCAUAAUUAGUAAAACUUCCCCAAAAGAACUGAGAAAUAUCAGGAUUCAUUUCCACCAUCAACAUGAUUGAUUAUUAAAGUUAAAAAGUUAGCGACUCCUUCAAUGUCUUAAUUAUGAAACACAAAGGACAGCAUACAUAUUUUCCAUUAGCUUUUUCCCCCCAUCAGAUCAAAAUGGGAGAUUUUCAGGGGCUAGGAAUGAUCUGUGAUGUACUGAAACGGUUAUGUGUUCCGGGUGACAAGACUCAAGAGCUAAAACAGCCUACCCGCCCCCAUGGCAGCCGAGUCGCUUGCUGGCGUCUCUCUGGAGCAGGCCUUCUAGGAGGGACCGCAGUUCCGGGGAGAAGGCCUCUGGGAGUUCCACAUUCUGGGGGAGAAAAGAACAUGAUUUCAAAGAUGCACUCCUGGAGAGAGGGCCCUGACGCCCAAGCAGACCUAAAGGCCAUCUCUUAGGAAUAAACUUGGUAACCUCGGGCAGAGCUAAGCUGUUCCCGGAUCACCACCCAGGCUCUCUCCCUGCAUCUGACACCUUCAGGGACAGACCAUCAGAGGUGACAAGUUUAGGAUCAAAGCUACCGUCACAACAAUUCUUUUCCUUAUCAGACAUCUGAAAUCUAGAUUGAGGAUCAUGGCAGCAAUCCCAUACAUUUGCAACAUGGACACUUCUUCAAUACCCUGUCCCAUCCCUGUGAAUCCAGGGAUGCAGAACAUGAUCUCAAGCCUGAACAGCUUGCUCACAUCCAGAUUCCUUUUCCUCGUGCCUCUGUGGUGUUCUUCUAGGGUGUCAAGGCAAAGUGAGGGGUGCAGACAAGCAUUUCAGCAGAGGCACUGCUGGUCCAUGAACACCCUCUGGAUGUCUUCCUGUGGCCAAGACUCUUCUUGACAGGAGCUGCAGUGAACACAGUGCUUCCACUGAGCUCCAUCAAGGACCUCAUGAAGAAUAAAUACCUCCCAAUUCAGUACUCCGAAUCUGACAUGUGGCCAGAUAUAACGGGAUUUACUUUAAUAGCCGCAAAUCACACUGCUGGCAUAUUGUUCAUAAAUAUUCAGAUCUUUUAAAAACAAUGUCAGGCCAGAUCAUCCCCAGUUUCUAUGUGUGGACAUUAUUAUAAACAGACUAGUAUCAAACAAAGAAAAGACAUGAAUCAAGCCCUAAAUACAUGGCUUUGCAAGUUUCUCUGUGACAUUUUACUAUUGAUUUUUCAAUCCUGACUUGAUGUAUUCAACAGUUUUGCUGUUGCGUGGAAUUUUAUGGUCUCAAAAUCCCGGGAGUAUGGAUUCAGUACCUCCAACCCCAUCGCCCGGGGUCUACUUCCGUGCAUUCACCACACAUACAGAGACUCCACCAGGUGGAAGGACGUCUCAUGUGGGAAGUGGUUUUCUCUGGCCUGUCUUGCAAAACUCUCUAAUUAGGUCAGCAAGUCUGAUGAUGUGGAUUAGGGCCAUCCAGGCUCCACAAAUAGAGUAAUUCAAUUAAGGACCAACAGGACCUGACUCUGGGGGCAGUAACAUGAUUUUGGUUCCCAAGUGAAAACAGUGAACAGAGAACAACUAGAUUAUCAGGGUCCUGGGGAUGCAUCAAGGGUGCUGGGAACCUAAUUUGGGGCGAAACAAGUAAUCCAGCCCCUUUGCCGAAUGUACUAAUUAUGGUAAGAAGAUGUGGCAGUGCUCAACGAGGCUUCCCAGUGGAAACGUGAAAAGCUUAGCAAAUGACCAGACCUGUGUUCACAGCAGAAAUAUGAGAGGGAGAGUCUUGACCAGGAAAUUUUAAAAUAAAGUACUUUUUGUAUCUUUGUGGAUGAAAAUGACCAAAAACAUUUAUUGAAACUUCAGAUUUCCAUUCUGGUUGGCUGAAAAUUUCUAAAAAUUAAUGGAAGUAUUUAACAUAAUCGUUGUGCUCAAUAUGAGGACAUUAUUUUUGACAGUGCCUUCCCUAACCCUUCUGCUCUACUUCUCCAUUUCUAGUAGUUGAGAACUAACACCAAUUAAUUAAAAACACAAAAUUAUACCCAGUUUCAUUUUGUGUUUUACAGAAAGCAAAUUAGCUUUGGCAUGCUCCCGCAUACCUGCACACUUUUAUAAUCAGUUCAUUUCGGGUCUUGGGCCUUUCUUGUCACCCUCAAAACACUGAAUGUUGGCGAGACAAUCAUGAGUAAAUGACUCCUAACAACAACAACAACAAAAAUCAUCCUACCUUCUUCAAUUAUGCACAUUUUAAAAUAACACUUAUGCCUCCAAAAAAGGCUUAUCAAUGGGACUUCAAAGCAGUGUUAUUUUAGAUUUAAAUGUGUUGACAUUCCUAUAAGGUAUGGAACAAACCUUUUGCCUAACCG